rnacentral:ncRNA from 1 species
GGAAGCUGGGUGCGGGGAAACCUGCACGCCCAGAUUUAAAUGGGAGGUGCGGGGUAUAAUAGCCCCCAUCGACCCAAC